rnacentral:rRNA from 1 species
UGGGGAAUAUUGCGCAAUGGGGGCAACCCUGACGCAGCAAUGCCGCGUGCGGGAUGACGGCCCUCGGGUUGUAAACCGCUUUCAGCAGGGAAGACAUCGACGGUACCUGCACAAGAAGCCCCGGCUAACUACGUGCC